GCCGGUGUAGCUCAGUCGGUAGAGCAGCUCAUACGUAAUGAGAAGGUCGGGUGUUCGAUUCAUCUCUCCGGCACCA
rnacentral:tRNA from 1 species